rnacentral:tRNA from 1 species
GCCGUAGUGGUAGUGGUUAGAGCGUAGGUCUCGUAACCGAAAGGUUGCGGGAUCGAAUCCCGCCAGAGGCU